rnacentral:rRNA from 1 species
UGACCUCGUACCUUUUGCAUCAUGAUUUAGCCAGUACACCUCAAGCAAAAAGAAUUUUAGUUUGACCCCCCGAAACUGGGUGAGCUACUCCAAGACAGCCUAGAAAUAGGGCAACCCCUUCUCUGUGGCAAAAGAGUGGGAAGAUCUUUGAGUAGAGGUGACAGACCUACCGAACCUAGUGAUAGCUGGUUGCCGGGGAAAUGAAUAGAAGUUCAGCCUCACAAAUUCUUCCCAAAUUAAGAGAGUUAUUCAAAAGGGGUACAGCCCUUUUGAAAUAAGACACAACUUUUUAAGGAGGAUAAAGAUCAUAUCUACUCGAAGGGAACAACGCCGUGGUUGGCUUAAAAGCAGCCAUCCAUACAGAAAGCGUUAAAGCUCAGGACCUUAAUACCGACAAUUAUUCUUAAACCCCUAAACCUACCCGGCCGUCCCAUGCCCCCAUGGGAGCAAUUAUGCUAGAAUGAGUAAUAAGAGGGGACUCUCUCCCCGCACAUGUGUACAUCGGAACGAACCCCCACCGAACCUUAACGGCCCCAAACAAAGAGGGCACUGUGAAACAACAAGAAAACUCCCCACCGUUAACCCCACACUGGUGUGCUUAUUAGGAAAGACUAAAAGAAAAAGAAGGAACUCGGCAACCAAGCCUCGCCUGUUUACCAAAAACAUCGCCU